CCUACGGGAGGCAGCAGUGAGGAAUAUUGGUCAAUGGGCGGAAGCCUGAACCAGCCAAGUAGAGUGCAGGAUGACGGCCCUACGGGUUGUAAACUGCUUGUAUACGGGAAUAACGCGCCUUACGUGUAGGGCUUUGCAUGUACCUUAUGAAUAAGGACCGGCUAAUUCCGUGCCAGCAGCCGCGGUAAGACGGAAGGUACGGGCGUGAUCCGGAUUUAUUGGGGUUAAAGGUAGCGUAGGCCGCAUGUCAAGCGUGCUGUGAAAUGUCCGGGCUCAACCCGGGCCUUGCAGCGCGAACUGGCGUGCUGGAGUCCGCGGAAAGCAGGCGGAAUUCGUCGUGUAGCGGUGAAAUGCUUAGAUAUGACGAAGAACCCCGAUUGCGAAGGCAGCUUGCUGCAGCGGAACUGACGCUGAUGCUCGAAAGCGCGGGUAUCGAACAGGAUUAGAUACCCCAGUAGUC
rnacentral:rRNA from 1 species